rnacentral:other from 1 species
GCGAUGCUGCCUGGUUCGUCAGGAUUUUGAAUCCCCGGGGCCUUAUCGAUCCUAAAGGGAGCUGUCCCUGUUGAGGCCCGUGGGCUUCAGUAAACGGCGCCCACCUACUCUGUAGGUUCCCGGGAUCGUACUUCCAACGGCCGAGGUGGCUCGCU